rnacentral:sRNA from 1 species
GCCUGGGGUGGUGGUGCACGCCUGUAAUCCCAGUACCUUGGGAGGCUGCGGCAGGAGAAUCACGAGUUCAAAGCCAGCCUCAACAAAAGCUAAGCAAAUGAGUGAGACCCAGUCUCUA